rnacentral:lncRNA from 1 species
AAAGCAUGGGUGGUUUGGCAUUGAUAACACAGAGAAUGAAGGACAGCAAACAGCAGAAGAAUACUGGCCCUAAUUCAAACUGAAUUGAGCACAAGCAUUACACAUACCAGCUAUUAAAUAACAACAGCCAGCUUAAUAUUACAAAGAUUUCACCAACAGUGCUCAGGAAGCAGAAACUAACUGGGAAGACAAGUUCAAACAGCUGCCAUUCCUACCCAGGGCAAUCCUUCACUAUCAGCUUUGGAGGAGCAUUACUGGGAUUUCUCCUGCCUAGCCUUUCACCCCAUGCUUCUGUAAGCCCCCAAACAGGCUUCCCACAGAGAAACAUGAGGAGCUUUGCUGGAAGCACAGGCUGA